AACGAACGCUGGCGGCGUGCCUAACACAUGCAAGUCGAGCGGAUGAGGAAAGCUUGCUUUUCGAUUCAGCGGCGGACGGGUGAGUAAUGCCUAGGAAUCUGCCUGUUAGUGGGGGAUAACUCGGGGAAACUCGGGCUAAUACCGCAUACGUCCUACGGGAGAAAGUGGGGGAUCUUCGGACCUCACGCUAACAGAUGAGCCUAGGUCGGAUUAGCUAGUAGGUGAGGUAAUGGCUCACCUAGGCGACGAUCCGUAACUGGUCUGAGAGGAUGAUCAGUCACACUGGAACUGAGACACGGUCCAGACUCCUACGGGAGGCAGCAGUGGGGAAUAUUGGACAAUGGGCGAAAGCCUGAUCCAGCCAUGCCGCGUGUGUGAAGAAGGUCUUCGGAUUGUAAAGCACUUUAAGUUGGGAGGAAGGGUAUUCACCUAAUACGUGGGUACUUUGACGUUACCAACAGAAUAAGCACCGGCUAACUCUGUGCCAGCCGCCGCCGUAAAAC
rnacentral:rRNA from 1 species